UUCUGAGUCUGGGCAACAAUGCCAGACAUUUCACACUUCUAACUGUAAGAGCACGUUGUAAGUUAUCUGGCGGGUCAGCAACCACUGAACAGCGACAUGGAAGCUGUGCUUGGAUUGCCGUUGAUGCUCCUUGGAGUCUGUCACGGUGUGGGAACGUACUGUGAUGGCAGAAUGGAUGGAGCUCAUUGUUACGGAGCUUUGGGAGGAACUCUGGACCUACAGCUGAUAGACAGUGCCUCCGAAAUACAUAGAUUUGAAUGGAUAAAAGAAUCACAGAACAUGUUGACAUGGAUAAGUAAUAUGAUGAUAUUCAGUCAAAUGGAAAACAAAUCUCUCUUUAUUCCCAGUAAUGGAACAUUUAGGAUUAUGAAUCUGAACAGGAGUGACAGUGGUGAAUAUUUGCUUGUAAUCCUUAAUUCACACAGAAGGUAUAAUUCAUAGAGAAGGUAUCAUCUGCGUGAUGGAUGACAAGAAGGACUCUCCAGUUGACUGUUCAAGCUCCCGUGUCCUCUGUCCAGCUGGUCUUUGAGUGUCUGUCUCAGGGAGAGACAAAGGUGUCCUGCUCCUCUGAGGGAGGGGACAGUCCUCAGUACAGCUGGACUCUGAAUGGACAGACGCUGACAGACGCUGAGCUCCUGACUGGAAAUACUGACACAAACAUCAUCACACUGAAACAAAAUGUCUCAGGACGUCUGGUCUGUUUAGUCAGGAGGACAUAUCUACCUGUGGCUUCAUACUUAUUGACUGCAUAUCCAACGGGACACGCACAUCAGUGUGGGUCCAUAAAGACAACACCCUCUGUAGUGAACCAACAUCAGUCCCCACUGUGGACCAGGAGAGUGAGUCAGUUAUAGCAUCCACGUAUAACACUUCUUCCAAUCAAGCUGUGUCUCCCAGAACAGAUCCCUCCCCGUUGCUCAUAUGUGGUUUGCGCACAAUCCUGGUGAUUCUUCUUUUAAUUGGAAUCUCUCUAUUUCACAUGGAAAAAAAGAAACAUGAGAAAGUCGAAGGCUCUGCUGUUAAUCUAGAGAACUCUGUUUUGAUGGUUGAAAUGAGAAGUUCUGCACCUUAAAACAAUCACAGAUGUCUUUUAGUGUGUUUGCUUUGCUUAGAAAGUCGAUUCACCUUGGCAGAAAAAAGUAAAAUAAUGAUAAUGUGGAGCUUCUCUUUCUUUUAUAGGCUAUCCCAAACUGAAUGUGUUCAGCUGGUUAAUAUGAAUGGUGCAUUAUAUUUUCACUCAGGAAAGGCUGAGUUAUUUAAAGCUAAUCUGUUUACAGUAUUAAUGAAGCAAUUGCUUUAAUUUCCUGUAUAUAUCGGAAGAAAUGAGGAUUAAGUAUGAUUUGUAGUUGCUUUAUUAAAAAUGCUUCUUGUAACUUUGAACUUUUCAUCACAUGCUGUGCUAAUAACAAAGUUCUGAAUAAACUUUGAGUCCCAUCAUCAGCAGGUGUGUUUUCCUCUGCUGUUAAACAGGUCUCACUGUCUCUGCUGGGUAAUUCUGUUUGGUCCGUUCUGAGCUGCAUAUUAACCUUUGUGUGUAGAAAAGUGGAUU